rnacentral:rRNA from 1 species
ACAUGCCUACAAAAUAGCACCAAUUCACUGGAUCCCAUUAGAACUCCACAGUUAAGUGCACUCAGGAUAGAGUAGUAUUGGGAUGGGUGUCGCCUGGGAAGUCCUAGUGUUUUACAUGCC